rnacentral:lncRNA from 7 species
AAAUGUGAUAACUGAGGGUUCUUUCAGGCUGAGGCACAUGAAAGGCAAGGAAAGUUCAUUUCAUUUGUAACAAAAAUGAGCUAGUUAAGGAGAGAGGAUGCUGGUUUUGCUGGCUUGUGGCAAGAUAUUUUUCCUUGGUUAUUAGAUCUGAGCUCAUAUAAAGGUUUAGGCUCUGUCCCAGACUGAUCUGGGGGAGAAAAAAGGAAAUUUCCUGCCAACUAGAAGUUCUGAGAAGAUUUCAUUCUGGAAACAACAAACGUUGUAUUUCUGUGUUCCCUGGUUCCUGCAGCUUCUCAGUGAAAAUGGCAUUUGACAGUGACUUGCACUUCACAGAUCUUGGUCUGUGGAUGUCUGGAGGUGGCCAAGAUAGCAAAUGCUUUCAGAAGAAAGAUGACAGAAGAAAGCAAGAAUUGUUUUUGGUCGUCUUUGGCAGGCUAGGUCAUUCCUCUGUUUCAAACACUUUUGCGGAAUGCCUUGCUCUGGGAGAAUACAUCUGAUCUUCCAUGGUGGAAGCAAUUUCCACAUGAAUGCACUGUGUUCCUCUUGUGCAAAUACCUGUGCCUGUGAACAGAUUUGAGCCCAUAAACACUGUUUUGGCUGUUUUGUUUGUCUUUGAAGAUGACUGCCAACCUUCGACUUCCACAGCAGGAAUCUUGCGUAAGACCACAUGUGAAAGAAAACCAUCCAUGUAACAUUUAAAAUCCAUUGUUUUGUUAGUUAAGAGGAAAUGCAGUUAGACCAGUUUUUUAUGGCUUUUUCACAGCUUUCAUGAUCUUGUGGGAGCAUGUAAUCAUACAGCAUUAAAAGGAAAUCCAAAUCUAGAUUCAUCUGUUAUCUUGUUAAGGGGAAAAUGCAUGUGAUGAGUGGAUUGGUAGGAUUAAGUCACUACAAGAAAUCAUAACCUUCUGUUGUGCUUGCAUAUAGCAACCUGAUAAUGUUAGUUGUCUCUACCAUAAGGGAGCAGAAUGCCUAUGUUUUAUAACAAAUUGAAACAUGAUGCUGUAGGCACACAGCAUAGUAAGAGAGUGUGUGUAAACACUUGCAUACGUGUUCAUAUAUAUACAUGUACGUUCUUCUGGUACAUGUAUAUUUCUUUCCAGAUGCAGUUGGAGUCCUGGCUGCUGUGAGAGUUAGAUGGCUUUCUUGUGCAAUGUGGGUGUUUAUCAUCCUGCUGUAACUGUUCAUGCUGUUAUGAGUUUCCACUUGGGAGCCAUUUUCAGGCACAUGUUCCUGUCAACCAAGGUCAGCGCUGAGCCAGAGAAGCAGAGCACAGGUGGUAUGUCAUAGUUAGCCUCUUUCUUUUGGCUUCAGACUGUGGCACUUCUCAAUUUAAUUUAUGAUUAAACCAUUGCCCUGAGAUAAUACAAAAAAUCUUAGUGUAUUUCUGCCUGGAUUUCAGAGAAAUGGUUCUUUAAAUAAACAAGGGAAAAAAUGAGUGAAUGCAUAAAAAGGGACUCAGACCUGACCAAAAUCCUGUGGAAAGACUCUUUGGAUUUCAGCAGGCUCUACUUGUCCUUAAUACACACUCUGUUGUGUCUAAUCCUAGGUGGGAGUAUCACAUUUUCAGGCUGUAAGUGGCUACUUGCCUCUCAUAAGGUGCAGUGCUGGUGGCAGUGGAGAAAGCCCAGGGUGAGGGGAGAGUUUGUGGCAAAGAGUGUUUUUUUUCUUUUUUUUCUUUUUUUUUCCUGCUUGGAUGGCAGCUGGAUUCUACACAAAAAAGCCCUAAGGGGAGAAAUACAUCAGGGUCAUUACAACUGUCAUUUGGCAGUUACGUAUUCUUGAAAUAAACUGUUAACACAAUUUUGCUGAUUCUUGCCAAACAGCAAGGGCAAGUUGGCUGUAUUUUUGGAGCUAGAAUGGGACUGCAAGCUUUAGAAAUCCUCUCUACAGUCAGCUGAUGAAAGAAUAUGGGAAACAGUGUCUGGAUGUUAACCUUCUUACCUGCAGAAAUCCAUGCUUGUGUAUGCAUACACAUACUGUGUUUUUGUCAAUUAUCAGUGCAGACUAUCGAAAGUUCCACCAGAUUUUUACUUGUCCUUGAAUGUUAUUAUUAAUAACCUAUUAAAAGGUAAUGCUUUAAG